AACGAGGGGGACCAGUGUUACUCAUCUUGACUGGGCGUAAAGGGUGCGUAGGUGGUAGGGUUUGAAUUUAACUUGGGUUUUACAGAUUAUGUAUCGUCCUUUAGUUUUAUAAAUUUUAUUCCCCUACUUUGAGUUUAGGAGAGGACAGUGGUACUUACAGUGGAGGGGUAGAAUCCUACGAUAUUGGGGAGACCAACGAAAGCAAAAGCUGUAGUCCAGUUUAAACUGACACUGAGGCACGAAAGCGUGGGGAGCAAACAGG
rnacentral:rRNA from 1 species